UACGAAGGGUGCAAGCGUUACUCGGAAUUAUUGGGCGUAAAGAGCUCGUAGGCGGACUGUUAAGUCGGGGGUGAAAUCCUGGGGCUCAACCUCAGAAUUGCCUCCGAUACUGGCAGUCUCGAGUGCGGGAGAGGUGAGUGGAAUUCCCAGUGUAGAGGUGAAAUUCGUAGAUAUUGGGAAGAACACCAGUGGCGAAGGCGGCUCACUGGCCCGUAACUGACGCUGAGGUGCGAAAGCGUGGGGAGCAAACAGG
rnacentral:rRNA from 1 species